UAAUGGGAUUGUACUGAGUCUUGUCUCCUCAGGAACUUCAACCUGGUAAGCAGAGUGGCUCUUUGAGAGUUGACUUCAGUUGUCUGCAAAUGCAAAUAAAAUAGGCAUUAAUGCAGGAAGAAACCAGAUUUCACUAUUUUGGCUUAUCCAUCUCAGCAGAAGCAGAUUCCCUAUUUACUUAUGAACCGAAUCAUAUCAUCUUGCAGGGAGUUUCCACAAGGUCAUGUUCCCUAUUCAGUGUGUUUUCAGGAAUACAACUGAAAAUUAAGGUGCGCCUUGCUGUCGUUUCAUACCAUCUCAUUCUGACAAUAAACAUCCAGAUUUCAGUCACAAGAACUGUUGCAGGCCAAAUUUUUUGUCUCAAGACAAGUUGUGAAUUGGACUUGUAAAAGGGACUCUUGUACUUGGUUCUUUCAGUAAUAUGAUCAGAAAAUUU
rnacentral:lncRNA from 1 species